UUCUUAGGUGUUGGAUAUUCGAAAGGAGUAGUACUUAGGACCAUGAGUUGUCAUGGAGGUUCGUAUCAGAAUAAGUUCAGUUGCAGCGAGAUAUAAUCUUUAAGGAAUGGGAACCUCUAGAUUUAAUUCUGAUGAGUCAGUGUUUGGUUGAAGGCAUGAUGUUGGCCUAUGCACGUACCUUGUAUGGUUACGAGUGUAAAUUGAUGGAAGUUUUGUCUUCUUAAGUUAGAUGUACAAAUGUUUUUGGAUGGGAUGUACGUAUCAAGGAUUAGGUAUCUUGUUUUGUAUCGAGUUGUUUUAGUGGAGUUUGGAAAUUGACUUGUGAUACGUGUUUAAUGCGGCUUUGAGGUAAUUAUACUCAAGAUGAUAGGAGUGUGAGAGAUUAUGAGACAGAAUUCU
rnacentral:lncRNA from 1 species